rnacentral:rRNA from 1 species
AUGCACGCUGGCGGCGUGCCUCAUCCCUGCCAGUCGAGCGCACAGACGAGGAGCUUGCUCCUCUGACGUUAGCGGCGGACGGGUGAGUAACACGUGGAUAACCUACCUAUAAGACUGGGAUAACUUCGGGAAACCGGAGCUAAUACCGGAUAAUAUAUUGAACCGCAUGGUUCAAUAGUGAAAGACGGUUUUGCUGUCACUUAUAGAUGGAUCCGCGCCGCAUUAGCUAGUUGGUAAGGUAACGGCUUACCAAGGCAACGAUGCGUAGCCGACCUGAGAGGGUGAUCGGCCACACUGGAACUGAGACACGGUCCAGACUCCUACGGGAGGCAGCAGUAGGGAAUCUUCCGCAAUGGGCGAAAGCCUGACGGAGCAACGCCGCGUGAGUGAUGAAGGUCUUCGGAUCGUAAAACUCUGUUAUUAGGGAAGAACAAAUGUGUAAGUAACUAUGCACGUCUUGACGGUACCUAAUCAGAAAGCCACGGCUAACUACGUG